ensembl:lncRNA
AUGGAACGCGCAAACUUUGAGAAACUGACAAAGUGCCCUGAUGCAUUCUCAAAUUCUGACUGCUGCUGUCGAGCUGAUGGGUGUUUAUGGAAGCAUCACACAUGUGGAGAUUCUAGCGCUAAUAACAGAGCUGGAGGAGCAGAACCAUUUAAUGAGCAUCUAGAGAUGAGCAAGGAGACUCGAGCGUCUCCACUGACUCUAACAAAUGCAUCCGUGGAUUUAAAUGGCUCAGGGAUACUGUUACUCCCCUCGAUCCACACAGAAAGACUCUUUGUUUUAUGAGAGUCAGGCCUCAAGUCAAACUCACCCAUGCAGGCUUGUAGUCAGCAUUUUUCUCCAAACCCAAAGUGGAGGUUUACAGCUUGCAAUAUGUCUUCAUAAGCAGUUUUAAAGUAGCUGGUCUGUAUUUUGUGGGUGGAGGAGGAGUGCCAAGAGUUCACCAUCAGUUUCAUGCAGGAUAGCCUAGUCUACAUUUAUAUCUUGUUUAUAUGUUUUGUGCUGUAUCUGAAAUUCAGUCUGGCCUUUCAUCAGUCUGGAGGUCAGAGAAAUACUGAAUCAAAAGCAAAAUAUUAAUCCAGAAAGCAGGAUUAGCAACUAAAUUGUUAAAUUAACCAAAUGAUUUGACACCACAGAUUACAUAUGAUAUUGUAAUUAUAAAACAUUAUACAAUUCCAAAGCUUGUUUUUUUUUUUUUUUUUUUUUUUUUUUUUUUUUGAUUUUCAGCAGGACAUUUUCUGUAUUAUAUAUUCUCCAAGUGUCAGACUGCAGAAGAGGAAAACUGACCAUGCAUAUUUUUCAAAACAGCAAACAUGUAGGUUAGCUAAAUGGCAGCAUCACUUCUUUAGGCUAUUGCUAGCAUGAAUGCCAGAAAGUUCACAUCAAACAUAAAGAUUAUGAUAUAAAACGAAAGAAACACAAAAUCACAUAGUUUGUUACACUAAUUUAUAAUAUUAUAUACAUUAUUGAUAAUAUACUAUUGUUACAUGUUGCUUCGCUCUGAUCACCUUGUUUGGGUUGAAAUCAGUCCUUUCCAUUUAUUUAUGUGGCUAGACAUUUUCCAGCUGCUGAACCAACCGCAGAGUAAAGCUGCAGGCGUUGAGUGUAGGUGUGUCUGCCUCCACAGCUUUACCUUCUUUAAAAUCACUGUUCAAAUAUAUUUAUUUUAACUAGAAAAUACAAAAUACCUGAAUUAAUUGUCCCUUGUGAAAAAACAAACUACACUUUAGCAUGCUUUUAAAAAGAGUGCUUAUAAAAGAAAUAGGCUACUUUUAAGGUGCUAUAU